ACUGCGAAUGCUGGCGAAACUACAUCGGAACUCACAGACGCGGGUUCGAAUCCCGCCCGCCGCGAGGCGGUAGUUCAGCCCGGUAGAACGGUGGGUAAGUCGUUUCGCGGAAUAACUUGUCGCAGUGCG
rnacentral:Y_RNA from 1 species